GUAGUCCGCACAGUAAACUAUGGAUACUCGCUGUCGGCGACAGACUGUCGGUGGCCAAGCGAAAGCGUUAAGUAUCCCACCUGGGGAGUACGCCGGCAACGGUGAAACUCAAAGGAAUUGACGGGGGCCCGCACAAGCGGAGGAACAUGUGGUUUAAUUCGAUGAUACGCGAGGAACCUUACCCGGGCUUGAAUUGCACAGGACGGCGUCGGAGACGGCGUUUCCCUUCGGGGUCUGUGUGAAGGUGCUGCAUGGUUGUCGUCAGCUCGUGCCGUAAGGUGUCGGCUUAAGUGCCAUAACGAGCGCAACCCUUGCCGUUAGUUGCCAUCAGGUGAUGCUGGGCACUCUAG
rnacentral:rRNA from 1 species